CGGGGGGGGCAAGCGUUGUUCGGAAUUACUGGGCGUAAAGGGUUCGUAGGUGGCUUGCUAAGUCAGACGUGAAAUCCCUCAGCUUAACUGGGGAACUGCGUCUGAGACUGGUGAGCUCGAGUGCAGGAGAGGAACGCAGAAUUCCAGGUGUAGCGGUGAAAUGCGUAGAUAUCUGGAGGAAUACCGGUGGCGAAGGCGGCGUUCUGGACUGCAACUGACACUGAGUGAACGAAAGCCAGGGGAGCAAACGGGAUUAGAUACCCCGGUAGUCCUGGCCCUAAACGAUGAAUGCUUGGUGUGGCGGGUAUCGAUCCCUGCCGUGCCGGAGUUAACGCGUUAAGCAUUCCGCCUGGGGAGUACGGUCGCAAGGCUG
rnacentral:rRNA from 1 species